GACGAACGCUGGCGGCGUGCUUAACACAUGCAAGUCGAACGGUGACCCAGGGCUUGCCCUGGUGAUCAGUGGCGAACGGGUGAGUAACACGUGGGCAACCUGCCCCUGACUUCGGGAUAACUCCUCGAAAGAGGAGCUAAUACCGGAUACGACCACUUCGGACAUCCGAUGGUGGUGGAAAGUUUUUCGGUCAGGGAUGGGCCCGCGGCCUAUCAGCUAGUUGGUGGGGUAAUGGCCUACCAAGGCGACGACGGGUAGCCGGCCUGAGAGGGCGACCGGCCACACUGGGACUGAGACACGGCCCAGACUCCUACGGGAGGCAGCAGUGGGGAAUAUUGCGCAAUGGGCGAAAGCCUGACGCAGCGACGCCGCGUGAGGGAUGAAGGCCUUCGGGUUGUAAACCUCUUUCAGCAGGGACGAAGCGAAAGUGACGGUACCUGCAGAGAAGCACCGGCUAACUACGUGCCAGCAGCCGCGGUAA
rnacentral:rRNA from 1 species